rnacentral:rRNA from 1 species
UACGUAGGGGGCAAGCGUUGUCCGGAUUUAUUGGGCGUAAAGAGCGUGUAGGCGGUCAGGUAGGUCCGUUGUGAAAACUCGAGGCUCAACCUCGAGACGCCGAUGGAAACCAUCUGACUAGAGUCCGGAAGAGGAGAGUGGAAUUCCUGGUGUAGCGGUGAAAUGCGCAGAUAUCAGGAGGAAUACCGGUGGCGAAGGCGGCAUCCUGGACCGGCAUUGACGCUGAGGAGCGAAAGCCAGGGGAGCAAACGGG